rnacentral:rRNA from 1 species
ACGCUAGCUACAGGCUUAACACAUGCAAGUCGAGGGGCAGCAUGGUCUUAGCUUGCUAAGGCCGAUGGCGACCGGCGCACGGGUGAGUAACACGUAUCCAACCUGCCGUCUACUCUUGGACAGCCUUCUGAAAGGAAGAUUAAUACAAGAUGGCAUCAUGAGUCCGCAUGUUCACAUGAUUAAAGGUAUUCCGGUAGACGAUGGGGAUGCGUUCCAUUAGAUAGUAGGCGGGGUAACGGCCCACCUAGUCUUCGAUGGAUAGGGGUUCUGAGAGGAAGGUCCCCCACAUUGGAACUGAGACACGGUCCAAACUCCUACGGGAGGCAGCAGUGAGGAAUAUUGGUCAAUGGGCGCAGGCCUGAACCAGCCAAGUAGCGUGAAGGAUGACUGCCCUAUGGGUUGUAAACUUCUUUUAUAAAGGAAUAAAGUCGGGUAUGUAUACCCGUUUGCAUGUACUUUAUGAAUAAGGAUCGGCUAACUCCGUGCCAGCAGCCGCGGUAAUACGGAGGAUCCGAGCGUUAUCCGGAUUUAUUGGGUUUAAAGGGAGCGUAGAUGGAUGUUUAAGUCA